GACGAACGCUGGCGGCGUGCCUAAUACAUGCAAGUCGAACGAACUCUGGUAUUGAUUGGUGCUUGCAUCAUGAUUCACAUUUGAGUGAGUGGCGAACUGGUGAGUAACACGUGGGAAACCUGCCCAGAAGCGGGGGAUAACACCUGGAAACAGAUGCUAAUACCGCAUAACAACUUGGACCGCAUGGUCCGAGUUUGAAAGAUGGCUUCGGCUAUCACUUUUGGAUGGUCCCGCGGCGUAUUAGCUAGAUGGUGGGGUAACGGCUCACCAUGGCAAUGAUACGUAGCCGACCUGAGAGGGUAAUCGGCCACAUUGGGACUGAGACACGGCCCAAACUCCUACGGGAGGCAGCAGUAGGGAAUCUUCCACAAUGGACGAAAGUCUGAUGGAGCAACGCCGCGUGAGUGAAGAAGGGUUUCGGCUCGUAAAACUCUGUUGUUAAAGAAGAACAUAUCUGAGAGUAACUGUUCAGGUAUUGACGGUAUUUAACCAGAAAGCCACGGCUAACUACGUGCCAGCAGCCGCGGUAAUACGUAGGUGGCAAGCGUUGUCCGGAUUUAUUGGGCGUAAAGCGAGCGCAGGCGGUUUUUUAAGUCUGAUGUGAAAGCCUUCGGCUCAACCGAAGAAGUGCAUCGGAAACUGGGAAACUUGAGUGCAGAAGAGGACAGUGGAACUCCAUGUGUAUCGGUGAAAUGCGUAGAUAUAUGGAAGAACACCAGUGGCGAAGGCGGCUGUCUGGUCUGUAACUGACGCUGAGGCUCGAAAGUAUGGGUAGCAAACAGGAUUAGAUACCCUGGUAGUCCAUACCGUAAACGAUGAAUGCUAAGUGUUGGAGGGUUUCCGCCCUUCAGUGCUGCAGCUAACGCAUUAAGCAUUCCGCCUGGGGAGUACGGCCGCAAGGCUGAAACUCAAAGGAAUUGACGGGGGCCCGCACAAGCGGUGGAGCAUGUGGUUUAAUUCGAAGCUACGCGAAGAACCUUACCAGGUCUUGACAUACUAUGCAAAUCUAAGAGAUUAGUCGUUCCCUUCGGGGACAUGGAUACAGGUGGUGCAUGGUUGUCGUCAGCUCGUGUCGUGAGAUGUUGGGUUAAGUCCCGCAACGAGCGCAACCCUUAUUAUCAGUUGCCAGCAUUAAGUUGGGCACUCUGGUGAGACUGCCGGUGACAAACCGGAGGAAGGUGGGGAUGACGUCAAAUCAUCAUGCCCCUUAUGACCUGGGCUACACACGUGCUACAAUGGAUGGUACAACGAGUUGCGAACUCGCGAGAGUAAGCUAAUCUCUUAAAGCCAUUCUCAGUUCGGAUUGUAGGCUGCAACUCGCCUACAUGAAGUCGGAAUCGCUAGUAAUCGCGGAUCAGCAUGCCGCGGUGAAUACGUUCCCGGGCCUUGUACACACCGCCCGUCACACCAUGAGAGUUUGUAACACCCAAAGUCGGUGGGGUAACCUUUUAGGGACCAGCCGCCUAAGGUGGGACAGAUGAUUAGGGUGAAG
rnacentral:rRNA from 1 species